rnacentral:rRNA from 1 species
UGAGGUACAGCAGAUUGUGCCUGUCUAGCGAACAGAUGGCGAGCUUAGCUACCAUGAUGAUACCCGGCGGACGGGUGAGUAACACGUGGGUAACCUGCCUGUAAGACUGGGAUAACUCCGGGAAACCGGGGCUAAUACCGGAUGGUUGUCUGAACCGCAUGGUUCAGACAUAAAAGGUGGCUUCGGCUACCACUUACAGAUGGACCCGCGGCGCAUUAGCUAGUUGGUGAGGUAACGGCUCACCAAGGCGACGAUGCGUAGCCGACCUGAGAGGGUGAUCGGCCACACUGGGACUGAGACACGGCCCAGACUCCUACGGGAGGCAGCAGUAGGGAAUCUUCCGCAAUGGACGAAAGUCUGACGGAGCAACGCCGCGUGAGUGAUGAAGGUUUUCGGAUCGUAAAGCUCUGUUGUUAGGGAAGAACAAGUGCCGUUCAAAUAGGGCGGCACCUUGACGGUACCUAACCAGAAAGCCACGGCUAACUACGUGCCAGCAGCCGCGGUAAUACGUAGGUGGCAAGCGUUGUCCGGAAUUAUUGGGCGUAAAGGGCUCGCAGGCGGUUUCUUAAGUCUGAUGUGAAAGCCCCCGGCUCAACCGGGGAGGGUCAUUGGAAACUGGGGAACUUGAGUGCAGAAGAGGAGAGUGGAAUUCCACGUGUAGCGGUGAAAUGCGUAGAGAUGUGGAGGAACACCAGUGGCGAAGGCGACUCUCUGGUCUGUAACUGACGCUGAGGAGCGAAAGCGUGGGGAGCGAACAGGAUUAGAUACCCUGGUAGUCCACGCCGUAAACGAUGAGUGCUAAGUGGUUAGGGGGUUUCCGCCCCUUAGUGCUGCAGCUAACGCAUUAAGCACUCCGCCUGGGGGAGUACGGUCGCAAGACUGAAACUCAAAGGAAUUGACGGGGGCCCGCACAAGCGGUGGAAGCAUGUGGUUUAAUUCGAAGCAACGCGAAAAACCUUACCAGGUCUUGACUCCUCUGACAUCCUAAAAGAUAGGACGUCCCUUCGGGGCAAAAUGACAGGGGGGUGCAUGUUGCCUCCACUCCGGCCCGGAAAAGUUGGGUUAAGCCCGCAACGAGGCA